rnacentral:rRNA from 1 species
GUCCAGACUCCUACGGGAGGCAGCAGUGGGGAAUAUUGCACAAUGGGGGAAACCCUGAUGCAGCGACGCCGCGUGAGCGAUGAAGUAUUUCGGUAUGUAAAGCUCUAUCAGCAGGGAAGAAGAUGACGGUACCUGACUAAGAAGCCCCGGCUAACUACGUGCCAGCAGCCGCGGUAAUACGUAGGGGGCAAGCGUUAUCCGGAUUUACUGGGUGUAAAGGGAGCGUAGACGGCGAUGCAAGCCAGAUGUGAAAGCCCGGGGCUCAACCCCGGGACUGCAUUUGGAACUGUGUGGCUGGAGUGUCGGAGAGGCAGGCGGAAUUCCUAGUGUAGCGGUGAAAUGCGUAGAUAUUAGGAGGAACACCAGUGGCGAAGGCGGCCUGCUGGACGAUGACUGACGUUGAGGCUCGAAAGCGUGGGGAGCAAACAGGAUUAGAUACCCUAGUAA